UUUUAUGGAGAGUUUGAUCCUGGCUCAGGAUGAACGCUGGCGGCGUGCCUAAUACAUGCAAGUCGAGCGAACGGACGAGAAGCUUGCUUCUCUGAUGUUAGCGGCGGACGGGUGAGUAACACGUGGAUAACCUACCUAUAAGACUGGGAUAACUUCGGGAAACCGGAGCUAAUACCGGAUAAUAUUUUGAACCGCAUGGUUCAAAAGUGAAAGACGGUCUUGCUGUCACUUAUAGAUGGAUCCGCGCUGCAUUAGCUAGUUGGUAAGG
rnacentral:rRNA from 2 species